GACGAACGCUGGCGGCGUGCUUAACACAUGCAAGUCGAACGGUAAGGCCCUUCGGGGUACACGAGUGGCGAACGGGUGAGUAACACGUGGGUGAUCUGCCCUGCACUUCGGGAUAAGCCUGGGAAACUGGGUCUAAUACCGGAUAGGACCACUGCCUGCAUGGGUGGUGGUGGAAAGCUUUUGCGGUGUGGGAUGGGCCCGCGGCCUAUCAGCUUGUUGGUGGGGGGAUGGCCUACCAAGGCGACGACGGGUAGCCGGCCGGAGAGGGUGACCGGCCACACGGGGACUGAGAUACGGCCCAGACUGCUACGGGAGGCAGCAGGGGGGAAUAGUGCACAAUGGGCGCAAGCCUGAUGCAGCGACGCCGCGUGAGGGAUGACGGCCUUCGGGUUGUAAACCUCUUUCAGCACCGACGAAGCGCAAGUGACGGUAGGUGCAGAAGAAGGACCGGCCAACUACGUGCCAGCCGCCGCAGUAA
rnacentral:rRNA from 1 species